rnacentral:rRNA from 1 species
CGCUUUUGCGGAUUUCUUCGGAUUGAAGCAACUGUGACUGAGCGGCGGACGGGUGAGUAACGCGUGGGUAACCUGCCUCAUACAGGGGGAUAACAGUUGGAAACGGCUGCUAAUACCGCAUAAGCGCACAGUACCGCAUGGUGCAGGGGUAAAAACUCCGGUGGUAUGGGAUGGACCCGCGUCUGAUUAGCCAGUUGGCAGGGUAACGGCCUACCAAAGCGACGAUCAGUAGCCGGACUGAGAGGUUAACCCCCACAUUGGUACUGAGACACGGACCAAACUCC